rnacentral:misc_RNA from 1 species
GAACUGCGAUAAGUAAUGUGAAUUGCAGAAUUCAGUGAAUCAUCGAGUCUUUGAACGCACAUUGCGCCCCCUGGCAUUCCGGGGGGCAUGCCUGUCCGAGCGUCAUUGCUGCCCUUCAAGCCCGGCUUGUGUGUUGGGUCGUCGUCCCCUCCGGGGGACGGGCCCGAAAGGCAGCGGCGGCACCGCGUCCGGUCCUCGAGCGUAUGGGGCUUUGUCACCCGCUCGAUAAGGACAGACCGGGCGCCAGCCGGCGUCUCCAACCUUUUUUUCUCAGGUUGACCCCGGAUCAGGUAGGGAUACCCGCUGAACUUAAGC